UUUAAACCCUAAAUAUGAUUUAAAUUUUCUUAUAUCU
rnacentral:tRNA from 1 species